GGAACGCAACUGACGCUGAGGCGCGAAAGCCGGGGGAGCAAACAGGAUUAGAUACCCUGGUAGUCCCGGCCUUAAACGGUGCACGCUCGGGGUGGGGGGACUUCAACCCCCCCGUCCCCAAGCUAACGCGUUAAGCGUGCCGCCUGGGGAGUACGGCCGCAAGGCUAAAACUCAAAGAAAUUGACGGGGGCCCGCACAAGCAGAGGAGCAUGUGGCUUAAUUCGAUGCAACGCGAAGAACCUUACCUGGGCUUGACAUGCAGCUGCACGCCCCGUGAAAGCGGGGCUCCUCCGAGGGUGCUGCACAGGUGCUGCAUGGCUGUCGUCAGUUCGUGCCGUGAGGUGUUUGGUUAAGUCCACCAACGAACGCAACCCCUUUGAGCAGUUGCCAGCGGGCAAAGCCGGGAACUCUGCUCACACUGCCUUGCUUACGCAGGAGGAAGGUGGGGACGACGUCAAGUCAGUAUGGCCCUUACGCCCAGGGCCGCACACGUGCUACAAUGGCCGGUACAGAGGGAGCCGACGCCGCGAGGCGGAGGAAACCCCCCAGAGCCGGCCCCAGUUCGGAUCGGGGGCUGCAACCCGACCCCGUGAAGUCGGA
rnacentral:rRNA from 1 species